UCCUACGGGAGGCAGCAGUGGGGAAUAUUGGACAAUGGGCGCAAGCCUGAUCCAGCCAUGCCGCGUGAGUGAUGAAGGCCCUAGGGUUGUAAAGCUCUUUCACCGGUGAAGAUAAUGACGGUAACCGGAGAAGAAGCCCCGGCUAACUUCGUGCCAGCAGCCGCGGUAAUA
rnacentral:rRNA from 1 species